AACAGGCACUGUAGAUAUUAAAGGGGAGGUCGAACUGAAUGCAGAAAAUGAGGGAGAGAGUUUCUGUGUGGACCCAGGAACAUAUAGAAGGGGGGCAAAGUCCAGCAGCAGUAAAUCAUUACAAAGCCCCCCAGCACUCGAGUUACAUGAGAGGCAUGCAUGGUAGAUCAUAUGAGGAGAGAAGAGCACCCGACGCGUCAUCAGGAAAUUAUCUUAUUCUAGUUAAACGACAACAGGCAUUCAUUCUCUCCUCCAGUACAAUGGCCUCAGAGCCAAUUGUCACCGACUCCACCUGUCACACAUGUAUACAUUGGGGAGAGCCGGGUCGAUUGAAACACUUUUCAGUUAAACGUCUUUUUCAAAGAUGACGUUACGUAUACAAAUAAUUUUAACAUGUGAUCAACAACUCACAGGUGUGUUCUCUUAGUUACAAGUAAAAUUGAAUACAUAUGUUGGACGAUCGAGCUGUUUUUUGACUUUGAAUGUAAGUUGACAUUUGUUUCAAACGCCCCGCCUAGUAGGGACGUUUGAAACACACAUGCGGGACGAUUGAAACAGCAUGUUUUAAAAAGAAUCUAUUGCCCUUACUCUUGUUUUUAUGCAACAUACUAGACAACAUACUAGUUUACUCUUCAUUGCUAAAAUUUCACAUAAUUCCGCAUCAUAUAAAUAGGUCAAAAUAUAUUUUUGGCCCGUGCGUAAUUAUCAAGAUGCACAUUUCGAUUAAAACUCACCUUUCUUCUUUUGGACGACUACAUUUGCGUUAAAUUUACUUAUUUCCCUGUCCUAAGUCAUGUUUAAGGAUACACAGUUGAACAUCCUUUUAUUUAUUUUAAACAAAAACGACCAGGUCAACAGGAUAUCACGAGACCUGUUACAGCGGAAAUGUAUCCAAGCGCCGCACAGGGUUAAUUUCUUUUCGACACGCACAGCCCGGCGCACAGAAGCAUCCGGAGUCUCUGUGGACAGGUAAGUGGCUAAACUUAUUUUAUCGGAUAAAUAUUGUGUAAUAGUCUGCACAUUGACAUGAACAUUAUGUUGAAAUCAUAUAACAAGCAGAACUUUGAUUAAGAUUGCACUCUAGCUGAUUGAUGGUAAUUGCUGGAGAAAAAGAUAAAUCGGCAUGCCAUGUGUCAUGACCAAGAGCAAGGGUGUAGAAGGCUAGCCUAUAGCUUAUACCCAGCAGUUUUUAAGUGUGCAUGUCCACUAAAUUCAAUUAUUAUUGUCAUAAUUUAAUGUAGCCGUUGUUAUUUUGGAUGCGUUACAAUCAUGGACGAAAAGUAGGCCUACCCAGCGAAAUAUUUAAUAGCCCAGCUCCCACUCAUAGCCUAACCCAGGCCUAAUAGUUAGUUAGUUAAUCAGUCUAGAAUGUUAAGUGAAUUGUGCUGUAGGCCUACAUUUACAGUAUUUCCACUGCAAACUAGUGCAGACACAUGGACAGUAUAGUAGGCUGAAUAUUUUUAUUCUUUGUCACACAGGUGACACAGGUAGUGUGCACUCCCGUCGGUGCAAGCCUCAUGCGACCACUUGUAACAAAAGACACACUGGACCCACUCUUCCCCAGGCAUCGAGGCGCUGAAGAGCUCGCAGCACACGAGGCAGCUGACGUCCUCGCUGGAUAAGAAGUAUCCAGAAGUAGAGGCAGCAAUGGUGGUGAACUCUGCUGCCUCCGGAACAGGACAAACUAGGCCUAAAGUGGGGCUGACUCCAUCAGCGGGCCAGGUGAUGGUGGGAGGAGCAGCUGAGGUGGCAACUCCAGCAACUCCGGAAUCAGGAGCGGGCGAGAAGAGCCUCUUCUUGGGAGCCCGAGAGGAGGGAGGCUGCUUGGCGGGACGACGCUGCUUCACAGUUCCCUGCUUUUCCGCCUCUAAAGCAGCCCUCACCGGGGUGUCCGUCCGGCCUUAGGGUAAGGCCGGACGAUGUCCGGGCUGAAUUCAACGGCCUCUCCCUCAGGCCGGACAGCUUGAUCAGGUACAUCCAUGCCUGCCAAAGGACGCAUUAAAAAAAUACACACUUUUAAAUAAAUGUUUAUAAACACAGCUUCUCUGCCGUCCACUACCCUAUGGACUUUUUUUAUGAACUUGGACUCAUGGGACUAUUUACUUAUCUAUUAUUAACCUUUGUUUAAUCCUCUGUUGCUUCUGAUGAACUGUUCCUACCUGAAGUGGCACCUGGAGAAGCGCUGACCUCGUCACCCGAAGCCUGGGGAGGAGGACGGUCUGUUGAAUAGGCUCCGGCGAAGUCCUUCUCCUCAAAUGCAGAGGGGUUAAAAGGCCAGAUCCCUGGACUUGAGAACCCGGAGGUGGGUCGUGUGAUUGUCCAGCAGGAGGAGCAGCUUCGACUCCUUGGACACACGGGUGUGACUGGUGAAGUGGGCCAGGUACAGGAGGAAGUCUGGCUCCUUCAUCCAGCCAGUUGGGUUGCCGCUGCCUGCACACUGCACAGCCAACGGGUCCACCCCUCAGGAAGUGGUCUUUGAACCGCUUACGGGGGAAGAUGAAGAAUGGCGGAACAAGGUCGCCCUGAGCAUUGCCUGCCAGGGCAACUGUGACCAGGGUCCCCCUCUCCGCUGAGGUCACUGACCCGACCUGCUUCUUCCCCAUCUGGGCGACGACGCGGUCUGGCACCUGGACAGUGGUGACCCCUGUAAAUAGUUGUGUGAGUUUAGUUGUAUAUAUAUAGUUGUGUGUGUGUAUAUAGUUGUGUUUUAUGUUAAUAAAGUUCAUAUUAAAUACCGGUUUCAUCAAUGUUCCAAAUGUCCUUGGCCUGGAACUGGUGCCGGUCCAGCACUGUCUUUAAAUUUUGGUGGAACAAGUUUACAUUACUUUGGUUGAAACUUGACAACCGUUGUUGGCUAGUGGCCUCUGGACGCCGAAGGGAGAGGCUGCCACUGCGCUCCAUGAAGGAGGUGAACCAGUCCUUCCCCGCCAUGCUUUUCCUCGACCAGGAUGCAGGGAAUGGGCAGCUGAAGUGCACUGCCAGCUCAAAGGCAAAUUUUCUGACCUGAAGGGGUCAUAAAAAGUUGAUGUACAGUUGUGUGUUUAUGUUUGUUAUUUGUUCAUAUUUAUUAAUUUAAGCAUGUGCAUAGCAUACAUGUGUGCCUGUCCCACAACUUAUGUAGCCCUUUUCACAACACUGACCUCAUUAGGGGUGAGCCCAAAAUAAAUGGCUGCUGCCCUCUUCAGGUAGUCCCUGACCUUUCCCUCCUGCGCUGCGUUAAAAACCCUAUUGUGCGGGUUAUAGCCAGGGGACCUAGCCGCUUCACUGCCCUCCGCUUGAGGUAGCGUGACAACGUCACGUGGUUUAUGUUGUUGGCCAACGCUGCCUGCCUCACUGAGCUCCCAGAAUUGACCUCGCUGCAGGCCCUGGCAUACACCCAUGCAGGAACCAGCCCACGGGAGGUGGUUCUCCUUCUCACCCGCGGCAUUUUU